GCUGUUCCCCCAGCUAAAGGGAGAACUGUCCUUGAAGAAAAAGUAUCAGUUGCCUUCCGCCAAGAAGUAGUAGUAAAAGAAAGACUAGAAUUAGAAGUAGUAGAAGCAGAAGUGGAAGAAAUUCCGGAAGAAGAAGAGUUCCAUGAAGUUGAAGAAUAUUUUGAAGAAGGCGAGUUUCAUGAAGUAGAAGAAUUCAUCAAAUUAGAACAACAUAGAGUUGAAGAAGAACACAGAGUUGAAAAAGUUCAUAGGGUAAUAGAAGUUUUUGAGGCUGAAGAAGUGGAAGUAUUUGAAAAACCAAAAGCUCCACCUAAAGGGCCUGAGAUAUCUGAGAAAAUCAUCCCUCCAAAAAAACCGCCCACUAAAGUUGUUCCUCGAAAAGAGCCACCAGCUAAAGUACCGGAGGUGCCUAAGAAAAUUGUGGUAGAAGAAAAAGUACGUGUUCCUGAAGAGCCCAGAGUUCCACCAACUAAAGUGCCAGAAGCUUCCAAAGAGGUUAUCCGCGAAGAGAAAGUGCCCUUGGCUCCUCCUAAAGAGCCUGAAGUCCCACCUGUUAAAGUACCAGAGCCUCCCAAAGAAGUAGUUCCUG
rnacentral:lncRNA from 1 species